ACUACGGGAGGCAGCAGUGGGGAAUAUUGGGCAAUGGGCGCAAGCCUGACCCAGCAACGCCGCGUGAAGGAAGAAGGCUCUCGGGUUGUAAACUUCUUUUAAGAGGGAAGAGCAGAAGACGGUACCUCUUGAAUAAGCCACGGCUAACUACGUGCCAACAGCCGCCGUAAUACGUAGGUGGCAAGCGGUGUCCGGAUUUCCUGGGUGUAAAGGGCUUGCAGCGGGGAAGACAAGUCAGAUGGGAAAUCUCGCGGCUCACACGUCGAACUGCGUUUGAAACUGUUGUGCUUGAGUACCGGUGAGGUAGGCGGAAUUAGUGGUGUAGCGGUGAAAUGCGUAGAUAUAAGGAAGAACACCAGUGGCGAAGGCGGAUGACUGGACGGCGACUGACGGUGAGGCGCGAAAGCGUGGGGAGCAAACAGGAUUAGAUACCCCUGUAGUC
rnacentral:rRNA from 1 species